CCUCGGGGGGCAGCAGUGGGGAAUAUUGGACAAUGGGCGAAAGCCUGAUCCAGCCAUGCCGCGUGUGUGAAGAAGGCCUUCGGGUUGUAAAGCACUUUCAGUGGGGAAGAAAGCCUUGGGGCUAAUACCCUCGAGGAAGGACAUCACCCACAGAAGAAGCACCGGCUAACUCCGUGCCAGCAGCCGCGGUAAUACGGAGGGUGCGAGCGUUAAUCGGAAUUACUGGGCGUAAAGCGCGCGUAGGCGGUCUGAUAAGCCGGUUGUGAAAGCCCCGGGCUCAACCUGGGAACGGCAUCCGGAACUGUCAGGCUAGAGUGCAGGAGAGGAAGGUAGAAUUCCCGGUGUAGCGGUGAAAUGCGUAGAGAUCGGGAGGAAUACCAGUGGCGAAGGCGGCCUUCUGGACUGACACUGACGCUGAGGUGCGAAAGCGUGGGUAGCAAACAGGAUUAGAUACCCGGGUAGUC
rnacentral:rRNA from 1 species